rnacentral:rRNA from 1 species
CAGUAGCCGCGGUAAUACGUAGGUGGCAAGCGUUGUCCGGAAUUAUUGGGCGUAAAGGGCUCGCAGGCGGUUUCUUAAGUCUGAUGUGAAAGCCCCCGGCUCAACCGGGGAGGGUCAUUGGAAACUGGGAAACUUGAGUGCAGAAGAGGAGAGUGGAAUUCCACGUGUAGCGGUGAAAUGCGUAGAGAUGUGGAGGAACACCAGUGGCGAAGGCGACUCUCUGGUCUGUAACUGGCGCUGAGGAGCGAAAGCGUGGGGAGCGAACAGGAUUAGAUACCCGCGUAGUCCCUGUCUCUUAUAC